GGCAGACUAACUGCUGUACCAAGUUUGUCCUCCUGUUCUCACCGUAGCUCCUCUCCUAUCGGUCACGCCCUCCAGUUAGCUUGCAGGUGGCUAUGUACUCAUUAGCGUCAAUGGCACUUUCUAUAAGACCGGCACCGGAGGUGGGCUAGUAAGUGAUCCCUAGGCUCCGUACGUCCUCCCUACACUGUGUUCGCUGUGCUGUCACCUAUGAAAGGUAUUUGGCUGUGUACCAGACGCUUCCGGGUAGUGUUUUGUUGAUCUACCGAAGGUCUUGACUGAAAAGACGCCGUGUACGCGCAGGUUGCACUUUCUAUUGGGAGAUGCGUUAAGGUAACAUUGGCUGUAUAUCUCAGUAAGGUUUGCCAUGUAAUAUGUGUGUGUGUGCAUGUGUACAUAUGUAUGUUUAUAUGCCAGUUUACAGUAACUGGAUCUACUAUAAUGUGUCAUGUUUCGCUGUAAGUCCUUGUGAUUUAACUAGCCAAUAACCUUUUAUCAUGUUGUAUGUGAGCUAUGCUUGUGUGUGAUUUUAUGUAGGUUUGCGUACUGGAGAGAUACCAGGGAGUCCCAUUUCCAUUCAUGUUGAGUGCUGUAUUCCUAGAGGUAAAAGGAAACCGUGUUGUAUUGUAUCUGUAUUGGUUUAGGCUGUAUUUACCAUAAACAAUGGAUUUUAAC